GUUGAUGCAGGUGGAUGACAUAGCCAGGAGGUGGCAGAGGGAGAAGAGGAGGUUGUGGUGGCACACGGGCAAAGCAUCCUGGUUCCAGUCAGACACGGCGUUGAAAAUAUUGAGUGGCAGCCAGCAAAGCGCGAAGGCCGUGAUCAGGGCCACCAGCAUGAUGUUGAUGCGACGGCUGUGACUCAUGCGCUGGCUCUCCGGCGUCCUGGCACGGUCUAGCAUGUCUUUGCGGUGACGCAGGCGCACGUACACCCGCACGUAACACAGCAGGACGAGAAUCAAAGGGCCGCAGUACUGGAAAAGCAGAAGCCACGUGGUGUAGGUCAGCCGCUGAUGCUGGGAGGGCCAGUGCUCAAGACAGGCUUCCAUGUGCAAGGACGUGUAAAGGUUGUGAUAAUGGAGUAAAUUGUGAGGCACGGACGAGUUGGCGAGCGAGACGCGAUAGAGGGCAGGCUGGGGCGGGAUCACGUUGGCGUAGGGCUCGUUCGUGAGCAGCUGAAAGGCCAGGAAAGGAGAGGAUGUGAAGCAGGCUAGAAUCCAGAUAAUGCAGACGACCGCAUAGGCUUGCGGAAUGCUGGGUUUCCAGCCAGCCGGGUUUAUAAUGAGCUGGUGUCUCUCGAGGGCAAUAAAAACCAGCGAGAGGAUGGAGACGGUCACGGACAUGCAUUGAAUGAAGGGCACCAGGCGGCACAGCAGUGACCCGAACACCCAGUGGUCCAUGAGCGUGUAUAUGAGUGUGAACGGGAGGCAGAAGACACAUACCAGAAUGUCAGAGAAUGACAGAUUGCAGAUGAAAAUGCUGGUGACGUUGGCUUUCUCCCGGCGCCGGGUAAUUAUGCAGAUAAGGCCGACGUUGCCCACUAGGCCCAGCACCAUUGUGACGCUGUACCACGCCACCAGAAAGGCCGUGAGGAUGGGAGACGUGUGACAUUGCUCGUCGUGGCCGAGACCUGACAAGUCUGCGAGCAGAGUCUCAUUUGAGCGAUCCUCCUCCCACGGCGGUGACGGUGAAGACGACACGUGGAUGAGGGGAGACGCAGAAGGGGGCGGCUGGCUCGUGUUGCCGCUGAAGGACAUGUUGCCAGGAUUUAAGGGUCUCCAACCACUGGGAUCAAGACAUCCAUUUUAACCCUUAACCGGUCAUCGGCAUCUGAGAUGGAGGGGGGAAAACACUACAUCAAUUACAGGCUGAAAAGCAAUACUCUACAUCAGGGGUGCACAAGUCCGGUUCUCGAGAGCCCCUAUCAAGCUUGUUUUCCAUGUCUCCCUCCUCCUCAGACACGGCGCUCCGCAUACGCAUAACACGCACUGCGCGUAGGGCACCAACUCUGCCUGAAGGGGCACCCCAAAAAAUCAAGUUUGUAAAAAAAUAGUAAUUGUAAUAAUAACAACAAUAUAUAGUAUUUAAAAUAAAACUUUGUAAAGCCUGAUAAAUGCAAGUAAUACAAAUAUAAGUAACAUAGGCUCAUUAUUUACACAAAAAAAAGAAUCUCCUGUGCGGCCCUCUUGUCAGUCUACCUUUGGUGCCCCCCGCCAAUUCCCUAGUGGUUUGCUCCAUUAUGCUUCAGUCGCAAAUUUGGCAGAAGUUUAUUCUUGAAAGGAAAUGUCAUCGAAAAGACAACAGGAGUCGGGGGCGGAAAAAAGGAAGAGGAAAAAGCAGCGAGAUAAUGCCCGCGCAUCACUUGCAGGCGAAAGAGCGCGCAAGGACAGGCACGCAUUCCGCUCGACUUUGAGGGCCUGACAUCGACGGGUUAUGUUAGAGACGUCCUCCUCGAUCAGCUGGCACAGGUCGACGGAGCUCCAAUGGCUGAGAGAGCGGGAGGGACAGCCAGAGGCAUGAACAGACCCCUCCCAGAUGUGUGAAUCCACAGAAAGGAGUUGGAGAAGGAGCAGAUCGAGCAUCCUGAGGAGCGGAAUGCUUUAGUGAGAGGCAGAGCUGAGAGGAGUUUGGCUAUUAUUGGGCUGAUGGAGCCCUCCGGCUUUGCUGAGACCCUCAGUGUAACGAGCUCUGCUGUCACACUGUGGUGAUUUUAUUCAAUUGCAUCACAGAACCAGUUGCAAAAUUGAAAGAAAGAAAGAAAGAAAGAAAGAGAGAAAGAAAGAAAGGAAAGAGGAUGGCAUGCGAGGCAAGUGGCUCAACUUCACAACAUUUAAAGCUGUAGUGUGAACUAAUUUCUUCACAUGCCAAAUAGGGUCACAAGUAAAGUAAUUAAACAUUGUCCACCAAAUAAAGCAUGAAAAAAUCAUUUAUAUGUUGUAUAUUUGACAAAAUAAUCGCGUUUCCGAAGUUCGAGCCUGAAAGGAGACGAACCCGGAAGUGAUACGUCACACCGGGAACAGCGUUGGCAGCUCCAUACAUACGGCCGCCAUACAAAGCCCUUCAAACAAUGAUUCAAACAGCGAUAUAAGCGAUUGACCGAGCGCAAGGGAGGAGAUCCAAGUUUUUGAAGAGUUGGAGGAAGAAGAGGAGCUUGGAAUUUUAUGUUGGAUCUAACAUGUAUUAGCCAGACGCUAAUCAGAAUGCAAACAGUGUGCCUAUACUACCUGACAUGGAAUAGAUACAAGACCCAUCGAGAUUACAACAUUGGUAAGAUAUAGGCUGUUAUUAUUUUUAUGAUUUGAAGAUGCAGGCAUUUGCACAUAAUGUUAUGUUUUUGUCUAUCUGAUGACAUUGUUAAAAAAAAUAAUAAUCAGACUUCAUGUUCAUUUUGGCAGAUCCGGCAGCUCUCGUGCAUAUAAAAUAAUAAUAUAAAAACGUUGGGGGGAAAGAAGGAGAUGAGUCUCCGAUGGCUUUCUCCACUUUAUUGUGGCAACAAUAAGAAAACAAAAUAAUAGCGGACUGCCGCCACAUUCGACCGCAAAGUUUUGCUUCUCGCCAAUCUCCUCCUCGCCUCCCACUCCAGCGUCUCUUAAACGGAUUGUGCAUAGUGUCUUGUUAUGAGCUUUUUGUUUACAAAUGUAUCGAACACACGACGCGCUGACAACCUUGUCUCUUUAUUAACACAUGAAGCAGUUCUUAUGGAAAAGUUAGAACACAGCUCGGCACAGCUCUCGGCAGGGAUUGGCGUCUAAUGGCGUGAGGAAAUGUAGUUUUUUCACACAAGCGAACAGAUUACAAAGCACCACUUCAGUGUUGUCCCGAAACUAUAUUUCCCAUGAUUCACUGCGUGACCUGCGCGCUCGCUGAUUCACUGCGAGAUUGACUCAAUGGCUACGCUAAACCAACACGCUAUUUUUCAGCUGUCACCUGUCAGCGGCUCUCAUAAAACACAAACUAGAAGCCUAUCAUGCGAUAACCGUGAACGCUGAACCGUCCAUAAGCAAUGCAAUGCUUGAAGCAUGAAGGUGGAAAUACAUAAUACAAAUACAAAUAAAUGUGCACAAACUAACCGGCUGUGUGUGUCUCUUACAGCAACGUGACCGUGAAUUACCGCGACGCCGACCCGUUUAUAUGCACAUCCACACCCGUUUCCCGAUUGACAGUGGAUUAACCCUUUCGGACAUGAUCGUAGAUGAAGCACAAUUUAAACACGCUUAACCUAGCGAACGCAACAACAACUAUGAUCGGGGAUUUCCACGAGUUAACUUUCGGCUAACGUCGCUAGCUUAUACUGUUCAAUUCCACAACAAUAGGCAGCUAUGCUUUGACAAAGUCAUCAGUCAUCUAUCCAAAAAUCACACUUACUUUUUGGCAAAUCCUUGAUCAUAAGCAGACCGGUUAAGGAAGCAGGCAUCUUCGAAGUGUUUGCAGCAGAGAACACUACUCGAUGAUGGUGUGAAAUUCAUUCGCUUCGUGCGAACGAAAGAUGUCCAUUUACGUGCCCUGCUAUCCUUUGGCCACUCAUACAACUUUUCGUUUGAGCGAGAACAAAACAUCGCCACACACCGCUGUGGCAUCUUACCAAGAAGCAAUGCAACAAACAAUACUGUUCUAUGGUGGACUUCCCUCGCAUGUCUAGGUGUGACGUAAUUUCCGAAGAUUUCCGAAGAUUGCCGAAGAAAAGCAUUUUCGUUGUCAAGGGCGUUGCUAUGGGUUAAACAAAGAAUCUGGAAGGGUUGCGUUAAAAAAAAUAAUGAAAAUAUGCUUAUAAUUGUUUAGCCAUUGAUAUUAUUCAAAAACAUGGUUGGCCAACCUUACUUCAAAGUUCCCCUUUAAAGGGCAGAUGAAGAGUAUGUCGAUGUACUGUAGUUUCCGUACGGUAAGGCCACCUUUAAAAAGCCUUCAAUUUUCUCAAAAGCAGACAAUGCGCCUUAUAAUCCGAUUCGCUUUAUAUAUGGAUUGAUAUUGGUUCAUGGCAUGACAUUCCCGUUAGCGCAGCUUCAUCCAGUGCAGUCCUUCUCAAAUAAUCGGGCGCGCCCCCCCAGGGGGUGGGGCAUGUGACCUCGGGGAACAUACUUUUUUGCAGUACUAGAAUAAAGUGCAAUUGCACAACCACUUAGUGGAUGGCAGUGAUGCUCUCAUUUUCAGAGUGUGCGCAGUAUUUUUGAACCAAACAAGACCACACAGCGAAGAGCACUGGAGAUAUGAAAAGCUAAGAAGAAGAAAUAUGACGAAGCGUAUGUAGCGUUUGGCUUUUAAUACAGUGGGAUAAUAGGAAAGACCAGUCCGUUUACUGUCUAAAAAUGUUUGCAGUAGACAGCAGGAAGCCAAAUCAAUGAAGACAUCACUUAAAGACAUUAGACCUCAAUAACAUUGAUAAGCCGCUUGACAAGCAAAAUAUUGCCAACAAUCGUCCCGCUUUGUCAGUGUUACGUCAGUAAACCAGCGAGCACUGUUAGCAUAAUAUAAAGUGGCAUACCAAGUUGCUCAGUGCAAAAUAAUCCCACAUCACAGCAAAAGAGCUGAUGCUGCUUGCAGCAAAAUUAAAAACUGUCCUUUCGUCCAAUGACACUGUCAUUUUUGUUGUAUUAAUAUUUUGAUUUUUCGGUCAAAUUGUUUGACGUAUUGUU